rnacentral:rRNA from 1 species
AUUGAACGCUGGCGGCAGGCCUAACACAUGCAAGUCGAGCGGAUGAAGGGAGCUUGCUCCUGGAUUCAGCGGCGGACGGGUGAGUAAUGCCUAGGAAUCUGCCUGGUAGUGGGGGAUAACGUCCGGAAACGGGCGCUAAUACCGCAUACGUCCUGAGGGAGAAAGUGGGGGAUCUUCGGACCCCACGCUAUCAGAUGAGCCUAGGUCGGAUUAGCUAGUUGGUGGGGUAAAGGCCUACCAAGGCGACGAUCCGUAACUGGUCUGAGAGGAUGAUCAGUCACACUGGAACUGAGACACGGUCCCGAGUCCUACGGGAGGCAGCAGUGGGGAAUAUUGGACAAAGGGCGAAAUCCUGAUCCAGCCAUGCCGCGUGUGUGGAGAAGGUCUUCGGAUUGUAAAGCACUUUAAGUUGGGAGGAAGGGCAGUAAGUUAAUACCGUGCUGUUUUGACGUUACCAACAGAAUAAGCACCGGCUAACUUCGUG